rnacentral:hammerhead_ribozyme from 1 species
ACUAGCUGACGAGUCCCGAAUAGGACGAAAUGCGCAUCAAGCUAGAU